rnacentral:rRNA from 1 species
UUCGCCCUUAGAGUUUGAUCCUGUCUGAGAAUCAACGCUGGCGGCGUGCCUCAGACAUGCAAGUCGAACGCGAAAGUCUCCUUCGGGGGGCAAGUAGAGUGGCGCACGGGUGAGUAACACGUAGGUAAUCUACCUUUGGAUGGGGAAUAACAACCGGAAACGGUUGCUAAUACCGCAUAAUGCAGCGGCACCUAAUGGUGACAGUUGUUAAAGCGGGGGAUCGAAAGACCUCGCGUCUGAAGAGGAGCCUGCGGCGGAUUAGCUAGUUGGUAAGGUAAUGGCUUACCAAGGCUACGAUCCGUAACCGGCCUGAGAGGGCGGUCGGUCACACUGACACUGACAUACGGGUCAGACUCCUACGGGAGGCAGCAGUCGGGAAUUUUGGGCAAUGGGCGAAAGCCUGACCCAGCAACGCCGCGUGAAGGAUGAAAUCCCUCGGGAUGUAAACUUCGCAAGAAUGAGAAGAAUAAGUAGGGGACAAUACCCCCUAUGAUGACGGUAUCAUUUGUAAGCUCCGGCUAACUCCGUGCCAGCAGCCGCGGUAAUACGGGGGGAGCAAGCGUUGUUCGGAUUUACUGGGCGUAAAGGGCGCGUAGGCGGCCAGCGCAAGUCAGUUGUGAAAUCUCCGAGCUUAACUCGGAAAGGUCAACUGAUACUGCGCGGCUAGAGUGCAGAAGGGGCAACUGGAAUUCUCGGUGUAGCGGUGAAAUGCGUAGAUAUCGAGAGGAACACCAGCGGCGAAGGCGGGUUGCUGGGCUGACACUGACGCUGAGGCGCGAAAGCCAGGGGAGCGAACGGGAUUAGAUACCCCGGUAGUCCUGGCCUUAAACGAUGAAUGCUUGGUGUCUGGGGUUAUAAAGUCCCCGGGUGCCGUCGCUAACGCUUUAAGCAUUCCGCCUGGGGAGUACGGUCGCAAGACUGAAACUCAAAGGAAUUGACGGGGGCCCGCACAAGCGGUGGAGCAUGUGGUUCAAUUCGACGCAACGCGAAGAACCUUACCUGGGCUCGAAAUGCAGAUGACAUCCGAUGAAAGUCGGCUCCCGCAAGGGCAUCUGUAUAGGUGCUGCAUGGCUGUCGUCAGCUCGUGUCGUGAGAUGUUGGGUUAAGUCCCGCAACGAGCGCAACCCCUAUUAACAGUUGCUAACAAGUAAUGUUGAGAACUCUGUUAAGACUGCCGUUGAUAAAACGGAGGAAGGUGGGGAUGAUGUCAAGUCAUCAUGGCCUUUAUGUUCAGGGCUACACACGUGCUACAAUGGAUGGUACAAAACGUCGCAAUCUCGCAAGAGUGAG